AUGAAGCGAGAAGUCGACGCGCCAUCUUUGGCGUCCGGCCCUCCGCAAGCGCCCGCGGGAGUUCGGGUUCCGGACCCGGUCCGAUCCCGUUCCCUCCGUGGGGCUGUUUGCGAUCAGGAGGUGUCCUCGGACGGCGUCGUUUUUCUCCAGUCCGCGACGCUACGGCUUGGAUGGCCUACCCGACCCGUCUUGAAACACGGACCAAGGAGUCUAACAUGCGCGCGAGUCGUUGGGUCGGACGCGCUCCGCUAAACCCAUAGGCGAAAUGAAAGUGAAGGCCCCUCUUGGGUGCCGAGGGAGGACGGAGCGAGUCCCCUCGUGGGACGGCUCCCGCACUCCCGGGGCGUCUGAUUCCUCAUUGCGAGGGAAGGCGCACCCAGAGCGCACACGUUGGGACCCGAAAGAUGGUGAACUAUGCCUGGCCAGGACGAAGUCAGGGGAAACCCUGAUGGAGGUCCGUAGCGAUUCUGACGUGCAAAUCGAUCGUCGGAGCUGGGGAUAGGGGCGAAAGACUAAUCGAACCAUCUAGUAGCUGGUUCCCUCCGAAGUUUCCCUCAGGAUAGCUUGCGCUCGGAGGAGAGUCUCAUCCGGUAAAGCGAAUGAUUAGAGGCCUUGGGGCCGAAACGGCUUCAACCUAUUCUCAAACUUUAAAUGGGUGAGAACUCCGGCUUGCUCGAUGAAUUCAAUGAAGCCGGAGACGGGGCCACGAGCCCCCAGGAUCGGAGUGCAUAGUGGGCCACUUUUGGUAAGCAGAACUGGCGCUGUGGGAUGAACCAAACGACGGGUUAAGGCGCCCGAAUCGACGCUCAUGGGAAACCAUGAAAGGUGUUGGUUGCUUAAGACAGCAGGACGGUGGCCAUGGAAGUCGGAAUCCGCUAAGGAGUGUGUAACAACUCACCUGCCGAAGCAACUAGCCCUGAAAAUGGAUGGCGCUGAAGCGUCGUGCCUAUACCCGGCCGUCGCGGCAGGGCGGGCCCCGUGAGGGGUGCCGCUUGAUGCGGCGACGAGUAGGAGGGUCGCGGCGGCGUGCGCAGAAGGGUCUGGGCUCGAGCCUACCUGGAGCCGCCGCCGGUGCAGAUCUUGGUGGUAGUAGCAAAUACUCCAGCGAGGCCCUGGAGGACUGAUGUGGAGAAGGGUUUCGUGUGAACAGCCGUUGCACACGAGUCAGUCGAUCCUAAGCCCUAGGAGAAAUCCGAUACCAACGGCGAUGGGACGAACGAAAAAGAGAAAAAAACCCAUUGAUCGGGCGAAAGGGAAUCCGGUUCCUAUUCCGGAACCCGGCAGCGGAACCGCUGUUUGUCGGGCCCUCACAAGGGGUUCGUCAGGGUAACCUAAAAGGGCCCGGAGACGCCGUCGGGAGCCCCGGAAAGAGUUUUCUUUUCUGCAUGAGCGUUCGAGUUCCCUG
rnacentral:rRNA from 1 species